GAUGAACGCUGGCGGCGUGCCUAAUACAUGCAAGUCGAGCGAACGGACGAUAAGCUUGCUUCUCUGAUGUUAGCGGCGGACGGGUGAGUAACACGUGUAUAACCUACCUAUAAUACUGGUAUAACUUCGGGAAACCGGAUCUAAUACCGUAUAAUAUUUUGAACCGCAUGGUUCAAAAGUGAAUUUCGGUCUUUCUGUCUCUUAUAGAUGGAUCCGCGCUGCAUUAGCUAGUUGGUAAGGUAACGGCUUACCAAGGCAACGAUGCGUAGCCGACCUGAGAGGGUGAUCGGCGACACUGGAAGUGAGACACGGUCCAGACUCCUACGGGAGGCAGCAGUAGGGAAUCUUACGCAAAGGGCGAAAGCAUGACGGAGCAACGCCGAGUGAGAGAUGAAGGUCUUCGGAUCGUAAAAAUCUGUUAUGAGGGAAGAACAUAUGUGUAAGUAAAUGUGCACAGCUUGACGGUAACUAAUAAGAAAGCAACGGCUAACUACGUG
rnacentral:rRNA from 1 species